rnacentral:rRNA from 1 species
UACGUAGGGUGCAAGCGUUGUCCGGAAUUAUUGGGCGUAAAGAGCUCGUAGGCGGUCUGUCGCGUCGGCUGUGAAAUCUCGGGGCUCAACCCCGAGCCUGCAGUCGAUACGGGCAGACUAGAGUGCUGUAGGGGAGACUGGAAUUCCUGGUGUAGCGGUGAAAUGCGCAGAUAUCAGGAGGAACACCGGUGGCGAAGGCGGGUCUCUGGGCCGAUACUGACGCUGAGGAGCGAAAGCGUGGGGAGCGAACAGG